GAUGAACGCUGGCGGCGUGCCUAAUACAUGCUAGUCGAGCGAACAGACGAGGAGCCUGCUCCUCUGACGUUAGCGGCGGACGGGUGAGUAACACGUGGAUAACCUACCUAUAAAACUGGGAUAACUUCGGGAAACCGGAGCUAAUACCGGAUAAUAUAUUGAACCGCAUGGUUCAAUAGUGAAAGACGGUUUUGCUGUCACUUAUAGAUGGAUCCGCGCCGCAUUAGCUAGUUGGUAAGGUAACGACUUACCAAGGCAACGAUGCGUAGCCGACAUGAGAGGGUAAUCGCCCAAACAGGAACCAAGACCAGGUCGAGACUCCUACGGGAUGCAGCAGCAGGGAAUCUACCGCACUGGCCGCAAGCCUGACGGAGCAAACCCGCGUGAAGGAUGAAGGUCUUCGGAUCGUAAAACUCUGUUAUUAGGGAAGAACAACUGUGUAAGUAACUAUGCACGUCUUGACGGUACCUAAUCAGAAAGCCACGGCUAACUACGUG
rnacentral:rRNA from 1 species